rnacentral:tRNA from 1 species
GGAGAGGUACCGAAGCGGCCAUAACGGCGCCGACUCGAAAUCGGAUGAGGAUGCAAAUCCUACGUGGGUUCGAAUCCCACCCUCUCCG